CUCGGACUGAAAGAGGAAGAGUUUCAAUCAGCCCUGAGCACGUGGACAAGCCUGGCAGGUUAGACUGGACAGCUUUCCUGAUUGCUUGCAAAUAGAAGGCAGUUCAAGGUAAGUAGAUCCAUAAAUGACAUGCAAGCCUUCGGCAUGGACAGAAAACUGGACAGAAAAUGAUCUCAACAGGCCCUUGAUAUGAGACGAUCAUCUCGGAUUAUCCAGAAGGACCCUCACUCCAGUGACAAGUGUCCUAACAGAACAAGGCAGAGUGAGACUACACAAACAAGAGGAGACAGUCCUGAGAAGGAGGAGGCAGAGAUGAGACUGAUGCAUCCACAAACCAAGGAAUGCCCAAGGCCACCAGAAGCCAGAGGACACAAGUGACAACACCUCCUUAGAGCCUCUGGACAGCGUUCAACCCUGCUGACACCUUCAUUCUGGACUUUUGACCUCCAGAACUGAC